AUACGGAGGGUCCGAGCGUUAAUCGGAAUUACUGGGCGUAAAGCGCGCGUAGGUGGUUCAGUCAGUCAGAUGUGAAAGCCCCGGGCUCAACCUGGGAACUGCACCUGAUACUGCUGAGCUAGAGUACGGUAGAGGGCAGUGGAAUUUCCGGUGUAGCGGUGAAAUGCGUAGAGAUCGGAAGGAACACCAGUGGCGAAGGCGACUGCUGAGACUGAUACUGACGCAGAGGAGCGAAAGCGGGGGUAGCAAACAGGAUUAGAUGCCCUGGUAGUCCACGCCGUAAACGAUGUCAACUAGCCGUUGGGGGACUUGAUCCUUUAGUGGCGAAGCUAACGCGAUAAGUAGACCGCCUGGGGAGUACGGCCGCAAGGUUAAAACUCAAAGGAAUUGACGGGG
rnacentral:rRNA from 1 species